GCCCAGCACCAUGGUUUAGGCUUGUAAUCCCAACAAUUGGGAGGCUGAGAAAGGAGAGUGGCUUGAGCCUGGGAGUUCAAGACCAGCCUGGGCAACAUAGGGAGACCCUGUUUCAA
rnacentral:sRNA from 1 species